rnacentral:rRNA from 1 species
UACGGAGGGUGCAAGCGUUAUCCGGAUUCACUGGGUUUAAAGGGUGCGUAGGAGGGCAGGUAAGUCAGUGGUGAAAUCUCCAAGCUUAACUUGGAAACUGCCGUUGAUACUAUCUGUCUUGAAUAUUGUGGAGGUGAGCGGAAUAUGUCAUGUAGCGGUGAAAUGCUUAGAUAUGACAUAGAACACCAAUUGCGAAGGCAGCUCGCUACUCAAUUAUUGACUCUGAGGCACGAAAGCGUGGGGAGCAAACAGG